UACGGAGGGUGCAAGCGUUAUCCGGAUUCACUGGGUUUAAAGGGUGCGUAGGCGGGCAGGUAAGUCAGAGGUGAAAUCUCCGGGCUUAACCCGGAAACUGCCUUUGAUACUAUCUGUCUUGAAUAUGGUGGAGGUAAGCGGAAUAUGUCAUGUAGCGGUGAAAUGCUUAGAUAUGACAUAGAACACCAAUUGCGAAGGCAGCUCACUACGGAUAUAUUGACACUGAGGCACGAAAGCGUGGGGAGCAAACAGG
rnacentral:rRNA from 1 species